rnacentral:rRNA from 1 species
UACGUAGGGGGCAAGCGUUGUCCGGAUUUAUUGGGCGUAAAGAGCGUGUAGGCGGCCAGGUAGGUCUGCUGUGAAAACUCGAGGCUCAACCUCGAGCUGUCGGCGGAAACCCUCUGGCUAGAGUCCGGAAGAGGAGAGUGGAAUUCCCGGUGUAGCGGUGAAAUGCGCAGAUAUCGGGAAGAACACCCGUGGCGAAGGCGGCUCUCUGGGACGGUACUGACGCUGAGACGCGAAAGCGUGGGGAGCGAACAGG